rnacentral:rRNA from 1 species
UACGGAGGGUGCAAGCGUUAUCCGGAUUCACUGGGUUUAAAGGGUGCGUAGGCGGACAGGUAAGUCAGUGGUGAAAUCUCUGGGCUUAACCCAGAAACUGCCGUUGAUACUAUUUGUCUUGAAUAUCCUGGGGGUAGGCGGAAUAUGUCAUGUAGCGGUGAAAUGCUUAGAUAUGACAUAGAACACCGAUAGCGAAGGCAGCUUACUACAGGAUGAUUGACGCUGAGGCACGAAAGCGUGGGGAGCAAACAGG